rnacentral:rRNA from 1 species
GACGAACUCUGGCGGCGUGCUUAACACAUGCAAGUCGAACGGAAAGGCCUGCUUUCCCUUGUGGAUUGCGGGUGCUCGAGUGGCGAACGGGUGAGUAACACGUGAGUGAUCUGCCCCCAACUUGGGUAUAAGCCUGGGAAACUGGGUCUAAUUCCCGAUAGGACUGCAGGGUGGUGCCUGUGGUGGAAAACGAUUUUCUAGUGGUUGGGGAUGAGCUCGCGGCCUAUCAGCUUGUUGGUGGGGUAAUGGCCUACCAAGGCGGCGACGGGUAGCCGGCCUGAGAGGGUGGACGGCCACAUUGGGACUGAGAUACGGCCCAGACUCCUACGGGAGGCAGCAGUGGGGAAUAUUGCACAAUGGGCGGAAGCCUGAUGCAGCGACGCCGCGUGGGGGAUGACGGCCUUCGGGUUGUAAACUCCUUUCGACCGCGAGGAAGCCACCUGGUUGGAAGGGUGGUGACGGUAGUGGUAGAAGAAGCACCGGCUAACUACGUG